rnacentral:rRNA from 1 species
GACAGAGGCCUCAAGCGUUAGGCGGAAUCACUGGGCUUAAAGCGUGUGUAGGCGGAUCGUUAAGUGUCUUGUGAAAUCCCACGGCUCACCCGUGGAACGGCUGGGCAUACUGGCGAUCUUGGGCCAACUAGGGGCAACUGGAACAAGCGGUGGAGCGGUGAAAUGCGUAGAUAUCGCUUGGAACGCCGAAGGUGAAAACAGGUUGCUGGGGUUGUGCCGACGCUGAGACACGAAAGCCCAGGGGAGCAAAACGGG